rnacentral:rRNA from 1 species
UACGUAGGGGGCUAGCGUUGUCCGGAAUCAUUGGGCGUAAAGAGCGUGUAGGCGGUCCGGUAAGUCCGCUGUGAAAGUCGGGGGCUCAACCCUCGAAUGCCGGUGGAUACUGUCGGGCUAGAGUACGGAAGAGGCGAGUGGAAUUCCCGGUGUAGCGGUGAAAUGCGCAGAUAUCGGGAAGAACACCCGUGGCGAAGGCGGCUCUCUGGGACGGUACUGACGCUGAGACGCGGAAAGCGUGGGGAGCGAACAGG